GCGGCUGUGGCGGAAAGGCAGACGCGCUACUUUGAGGGGGUAGUGGAGGUUACUCCGUGUGAGUUCAAGUCUCACCAGCCGCACCA
rnacentral:tRNA from 1 species